rnacentral:rRNA from 1 species
GACGAACGCUGGCGGCGUGCUUAACACAUGCAAGUCGAGCGGUAAGGCCCCUUCGGGGGUACACGAGCGGCGAACGGGUGAGUAACACGUGGGUGACCUGCCCUCAGCUCUGGGAUAAGCCUGGGAAACUGGGUCUAAUACCGGAUAUGACUCCAUGACGCAUGUCGUGGGGUGGAAAGCCUUGUGCGGCUGGGGAUGGGCCCGCGGCCUAUCAGCUUGUUGGUGGGGUGAUGGCCUACCAAGGCGACGACGGGUAGCCGGCCUGAGAGGGCGACCGGCCACACUGGGACUGAGACACGGCCCAGACUCCUACGGGAGGCAGCAGGUGGGGAAUCUUGCGCAAUGGGCGAAAGCCUGACGCAGCGACGCCGCGUGA